rnacentral:misc_RNA from 1 species
ACACCUCAACUCUCAUGGUCUUCCAUGACGAGCUUGGACUUUGGGGGUCUUGCCGGCCUAGUGUUGGCUCCUCUCAAAUGGAUCAGCUUGCCAGUGUUUGGUGGGGUCACAGGUGUGAUAACUAUCUACGCGUGUGUUCCCUGCCAUGUAACCUUCAGUGAUGGAGGUUUGCUGGAGCUCAUAGAUGUCUCUCCUCGGCGAGGACAGCUUUUUGAAC